UACGUAGGUGGCAAGCGUUGUCCGGAUUUAUUGGGUUUAAAGGGUGCGUAGGCGGUUCCAUAAGUCAGUGGUGAAAUACGGCAGCUCAACUGUCGAGGUGCCAUUGAUACCGCGGAACUUGAGUACUGAUGAGGUAGGCGGAAUUGACGGUGUAGCGGUGAAAUGCUUAGAUAUCGUCAAGAACACCGAUAGCGAAGGCAGCUUACCAAGCAGUAACUGACGCUGAGGCACGAAAGUGCGGGGAUCAAACAGG
rnacentral:rRNA from 1 species